rnacentral:misc_RNA from 1 species
GAUGAAGAACGUAGCGAAAUGCGAUAAGUAAUGCGAAUUGCAGAAUUUCCGUGAGUCAUCGAAUCUUUGAACGCACAUUGCGCCCACUGGUAUUCCGGUGGGCAUGCCUGUUCGAGCGUCAUUAUCCUCCCUCAAACCCCGGGUUUGGUGUUGGACCCAAGUUGUGUGAACAACUGGUCUCAAAGACAAUGACGGCGUCCGUGGGACCCUCGGUGCAACGAGCUUUUAGGAGCACGCAUCGAGUUGCAAGGACCUUCCGGGCCGGUCUCCUUUACCAUUUUACAAGGUUGACCUCGGAUCAGGUAGGAAUACCCGCUGAACUUAAGCAUAUCAAUAAGCGGGGA